AGUUUAGAAUUUUCCGCUGGUGCACGGGAAGCUGGUGAGAAUCCAGCACAGCCCCGCUACUGUAAGCGCGGAGGGUCGCUCGACUAAGCCACUGUUCCAUUCGUGGAAUGGGAAGGCCGGGCGGUCUGAAGAUGCGUAAGUCAGGAGACCGGCCAGCGAGAUUGCAUGAAUC
rnacentral:ncRNA from 1 species